GAUGAACGCUGGCGGCGUGCCUAAUACAUGCAAGUCGAGCGAACAGAUAAGGAGCUUGCUCCUUUGACGUUAGCGGCGGACGGGUGAGUAACACGUGGGUAACCUACCUAUAAGACUGGAAUAACUCCGGGAAACCGGGGCUAAUGCAGGAUAACAUGUUGAACCGCAUGGUUCUACAGUGAAAGGCGGCUUUGCUGUCACUUAUAGAUGGACCCGCGCCGUAUUAGCUAGUUGGUGAGGUAACGGCUCACCAAGGCAACGAUACGUAGCCGACCUGAGAGGGUGAUCGGCCACACUGGAACUGAGACACGGUCCAGACUCCUACGGGAGGCAGCAGUAGGGAAUCUUCCGCAAUGGGCGAAAGCCUGACGGAGCAACGCCGCGUGAGUGAUGAAGGUCUUCGGAUCGUAAAACUCUGUUAUUAGGGAAGAACAAAUGCGUAAGUAACUGUGUGCGUCUUGACGGUACCUAAUCAGAAAGCCACGGCUAACUACGUG
rnacentral:rRNA from 1 species